rnacentral:rRNA from 1 species
GACGAACGCUGGCGGCGUGCUUAACACAUGCAAGUCGAACGGAAAGGCCCUGCUUUUGUUGGGUGCUCGUGUGGCGCACGGGUGAGUAACACGUGAGUAACACGCCCUUGUCUUUGUGAUAACUUCUGGAAACUGGGGCUCAUACCGGAUAGGAGCUCCUGCUGCAUGUUGGUGGUUGGAAAGUUUCGGCGGUUGGGGCUGGACUCGCGGCUUAUCAGCUUGUUGGUGGGGUAGUGGCUUACCCAGGCUUUGACGGGUAGCCGGCCUGGGAGGGUGACCGGCCGCACUGGGACUGAGAGGCGGCCGAGGUAGGUACGGGAGGCAGCAGGGGGGAAGAUUGAAGGAGGGGCGGAGGGCGGAUGCAGAAGCGCCUCGGGCGGGAUGACGGCGUUCGGGUUGUAAACCGAUUGCGCAUGUGACGAAGCGUGAGUGACGGUAAUGGGUAAAGAAGCACCGGCUAACUACGUU